AGCUUUGCGCAGUGGCAGUAUCGUAGACAUUGAGGUUUAUCCGAGGCGCGAUUAUUGCUAAUUGAAAACUUUUCUCAAAGUACUCAAUGGGGGGAAGACUCCCAAGCAAAAAGUGAAUGGAAUCAAACAAAAAAUACCAAUAAUUC